UGAGCCAUUAUUCAGGAGGGAAUUUAACCUUUAUUUCCAGUUUUCAUUUGAAUAUUCAGAGAAAUCUGAUUUUAUUUUUUUAUCAAGUUUUUAGUUUUUCUACUAUUUUAAGCAGGUGUUUCCAUAUGUGAAUAACGGUCAUGGCGAGAGUUUGUUUUGCUGCUUCAACAGGAGUACAGUGUUCGUGUCCUUGAAAGUGUUUUUGUAGAAUCCUUUGAUUUGAUCUGCAGACGGAAUAAAAACUGAAAGGAGUGCUUAUCUUGGCUCUAAAGUACAGUAAGCAUUUAUUUUUAUUUAUUAAGGUUAUUACGUCAUAUAAAGGCAGUAAAAUUAUUUUACAAUCACAGAGUCCACCUCAGGGUCCCACAGGCUGCAGGAGGACAGAAAUAUGACUCUGUUUAUCGCAUCAGCAGGUUUCAGGAAUCUUAUAAAGAAUGUGGACUUUACAGAGAUGAGAGGGGUUUUCAGUUUGUCAAGCCAGCAGCUUUGAGUCUUAGGGAGAGUAAUGAUCCAGACUGAAAUAUUCUGACAACUACAGGAUGGAUUACCAGAAGAUGAAUCCUACUGACUUUGAUGAGACCCUGCAUUGCAAAUCUUGUCUAAUUUCUUGUCAAAAAUAUCUAAUUACAAGAAAAUUGAAGAAACAUUCAUCUGAUAAGUCCAGAUAAAAAAAUGUUUUAAAGAAAUAAUGUGUGACAUUUUACACAUAAACACAGCAGAAAUCAAAUAUGUCCUCUGAGUCAUGACUGUCUACAAUGAGCGAGAAGCAUGAGUCCCGAUGGCUGUGUUGUUGUUGUUGGUGUGUUAACAUUGACGGGACGGUUGGCUCCUCCCCUUGUGUAUAAAGCUGUUUUAGUCAAGGACUAGAGAAAAGAAGAAGAACAUACUCACUGCUUAUGUGGACGUCAUGUUAGCGUUUUUAGAUCUCGGUCAUUCAGUGUUAGUUUACAUGCAAUGUGAAGCCACGAGCUAACUAAAGAGCGCUAACAUUAGCAUGCUAACACAACAAUGCAGGACACAGGCAAUUGCAGCUCGAGCUGAGGACAAUUUUGUCCACUGCUUGCACUAAACUCCUCAAGGGGAGGGGGGUUGGAGGGGGGUCCGUAACAGGCCUGUCAUCUUGUUAACCUGCUGCUCAGACUUAGUGGCUCUGAUGUUAUAAAUGAGAGUUUCUGGAUGGACUUUCCUCCCUCGUCAGAGAAUAGUCUCAAGCUGUAACUCACACAGUGACAAAGGGAAACCUAAUACUCACAAAUCAAUUUUCUGUCGAGCUCUGAGCCUCUCAGAAAAAAAAUCCAAAUUGGAUUUUCAGGCAGCAUUUAUUGAUUAUCUGAGAGAAAAACUCACUAAGUAAUGAACGUUGUCUGCCAGAGCGUAAUGAAUGUCUGAGAUUAAUCAGUUAAUACACAACAGAGCGGGUGUGCACCGAGUCUUAUCUGAAAUUAAUGACCUGCUCGGAUUAGGGACGGGUGCGGUCGACUUCAUGGGGACAAUUCAUAAUACGUCAGCCCGGAUUUUUAAUUAUUUUUCCAGUCAUAGUUUUCUAGAAACAAGAAGAAAGAAGCCGUUAGUUGAACAUCCCAAAUAGCAAAAACCUACACAGAUAUUAGUCAAUUAUUCAUUUGGUGACCAUAAAUCCAAACGGGAACUCAGAUAAGUGAUGCUGUGAUUAAUUUAUUUCUCCAUAAUUAUACUACACUAUACAAACUCAUGAGUGAUCAUUGAGCUCUUUCUGAAACAUAUUCAAUCACUGUUCAUAACUUUAUUGUAUUAUUUUGUUAUUACCUAUUAAUGUGAAAUGGUCAAUGUGUGUAUAGGGUGCAACUUGAUUUGUUUUUCAUGAUCUUAUCUUAUUAUUGUUUAUAUUCCAUUUAAAUUCAUCUUUAUUUUUUUAGGUUUAUUUUGGUUUUUUUUGUACCUUUUAUUGUAAAGAUAGAGUUGGAAAUCAGAGCUAAAGAGAGAGUGGGGAAUGACAUGCGGGAAAGGAGCCACAGGUGGGACAACAGACUCCAAAUCCAUGGGGCAUUAUCUAACCGCUAGGCCACCGGCGCCACUCUUAUUCUAUUCUUAUUUUUUAAUUUCUACUCCUGAAGCCCAGUACUGUAGCCAGGUUGUCUUACUUCCUUAUAAAUACAUUUCAUUACUAUUAUUAUAGAACUACACUUUAACAAGAAAUCCUGUCCAGCUGUUUGUGCAGGAAGUGAUUCAAUAAUUAACAAGAACCAGAACUCAGUCUCAGAGCAGAGUCCACAGGAAUAUUAAAAGGUUAUCUUCACAAGGACAUGACUGCAAGAUGGACAUGACUGCAAGAUACACAUGUGCAGAUUAAGAAAGCCCCACUCGGUCUGUCCAAGGUUAAGAAUGCCAAAACAAAAAUAGAUCAUGUAACUAGUGGGAAGUCUUGUCUAUAAUUCUGUAUUUCUGCC